rnacentral:rRNA from 1 species
UACGAAGGGGGCUAGCGUUGUUCGGAAUCACUGGGCGUAAAGCGCACGUAGGCGGACUUUUAAGUCAGAGGUGAAAUCCCAAGGCUCAACCUUGGAACUGCCUUUGAUACUGGGAGUCUUGAGUUCGGGAGAGGUGAGUGGAACUGCGAGUGUAGAGGUGAAAUUCGUAGAUAUUCGCAAGAACACCAGUGGCGAGGGCGGCUCACUGGCCCGAUACUGACGCUGAGGUGCGAAAGCGUGGGGAGCAAACAGG